CAGCCGUAAACUAUGCGCGUUAGGUGUAUCGGUGACCACGAGUCACCGAGGUGCCGAAGGGAAACCGUGAAACGUGCCGCCUGGGAAGUACGGUCGCAAGGCUGAAACUUAAAGGAAUUGGCGGAGGAGCACCACAACGGGUGGAGCCUGCGGUUUAAUUGGACUCAACGCCGGGAAGCUCACCGGAUAAGACAGCGGAAUGAUUGCCGGGCUGAAGACUCUGCAUGACUAGCUGAGAGGAGGUGCAUGGCGUAGACGUCU
rnacentral:rRNA from 1 species